GGCGUGCCUAACACAUGCAAGUCGAGCGAUGAAAUUCCUUCGGGAAUGGAUUANCGGCGGACGGGUGAGUAACACGUGGGUAACCUGCCUCAUAGAGGGGAAUAGCCUUCCGAAAGGAAGAUUAAUACCGCAUAAUGUANUACCUUCGCAUGAAGGAACUAUCAAAAGAGCAAUCUGCUAUGAGAUGGACCCGCGGCGCAUUAGCUAGUUGGUGAGGUAACGGCUCACCAAGGCGACGAUGCGUAGCCGACCUGAGAGGGUGAUCGGCCACAUUGGAACUGAGACACGGUCCAGACUCCUACGGGAGGCAGCAGUGGGGAAUAUUGCGCAAUGGGGGAAACCCUGACGCAGCAACGCCGCGUGAAUGAAGAAGGCCUUCGGGUUGUAAAGUUCUGUCUUAUGGGAAGAUAAUGACGGUACCAUAGGAGGAAGCCACGGCUAACUACGUGCCAGCAGCCGCGGUAAUACGUAAGUGGCAAGCGUUGUCCGGAUUUACUGGGCGUAAAGGAU
rnacentral:rRNA from 1 species